rnacentral:rRNA from 1 species
AGAGAGAGACAUGCGCGCAUAUCAAUAAGCGGAGGAAAAGAAACUAACAAGGAUUCCCUUAGUAACGGCGAGUGAAGCGGGAAGAGCUCAAAUUUGAAAUCUUCAAGGGUUUACCUUUACGAAUUGUAGUUUAAAGAAGUGUUUUCUGUUGAAGGUUUCGGUAAAAGUUCUUUGGAAUAGGACAUCAUAGAGGGUGAGAAUCCCGUAUUUGACCUUUACUUUUCAACUGUGUGAUACACUUUCAAAGAGUCGGAUUGUUUGGGAAUGCAGUCCAAAAUGGGUGGUAAAUUUCAUCUAAAGCUAAAUAUUGGCGAGAGACCGAUAGCGAACAAGUACCGUGAGGGAAAGAUGAAAAGAACUUUGAAAAGAGAGUUAAACAGUACGUGAAAUUGUCAAAAGGGAAGCGUUUGACACCAGUGUUGUUUUUCUGAAAAUCAAUUAAAGAACUGUUUAUGCUAAGCUGUUUAGACUUUAUCAGCUAACUGUUUAGUUUUGAGCUUUUCUUUAAUGCACUUUUCAGUUAACAAGUCAACAUCAAUUUCUUUUGCUGUAAAAAAGCUUGAGGAAGGUGGCUUGAGAUUCGUCUUAAGUGUUUAUAGCCUCUUGCCUAUGCAGUCGGAGAGAUUGAGGUCUGCAGCGUAGAUCCUUCGGGGCUAAAUGCAUUUGUGCUAAGUUAUAGCAUUUUAUAGACAACUUGUUGACUAUGAUUUGUCUUGUAGCUUACUCGCUUAUGUUAUUUUACCUACGCUUAGGAUGUUGAGCGCAUGUCUCUCUCU